CCAUCUAUCAACUUUAUACCGUGAAGAUGCACGAGCUGACAGUGGUCACCUGCUGGUGUCUCAACACUGAGGUUCUCCAGGGCUUGGUGAGAGGCAUAAAGAUUCCAGAUUGGCUUUGCUUUCCUGGAGCAAUUUUUCAUCCAUCCACUGCAGAGCAUGAAGACAAAACAGAGGUAAUCUGCGCCAGUCUACCACACCGGUGACCUCAUUCGAAUCGUCUAGCCCUCAUGUCUGUAUGUCAUGCCUGAGCCUGUCAGCCUGUCAUCACCUAUUAAAGGGACUGACUAAAGGGACGUAUUUAAGGGAAACCUUUUCCAGGGGGUGACUAAAGGGACAUAUUUAAGGGAAACCUAUUUAAGGGGGAGACUAAUGGGACAUAUCUGGCAACAAUCCCAAGCGUGCCCUGAUCUCACUAACCUCUCAACU
ensembl:lncRNA